UACAGAGGGUGCAAACGUUGCUCGGAAUUAUUGGGCGUAAAGCGUACGUAGCGGUCUCAUAAGUCAGAAGUGAAAGCCCUCGGCUUAACCGAGGAAGAGCUUUUGAAACUGCGAGACUUGAGUACUGAAGAGGGUCGUGGAAUUCCCGGUGUAGAGGUGAAAUGCGUAGAUAUCGGGAGGAACACCUGUGGCGAAAGCGGCUACCUGGACAGAGUCUGACGCUGAGGCACGAAAG
rnacentral:rRNA from 1 species